GAGCGGUAGAGAUCUUUCGGGAUCUUGAGAGCGGCGUACGGGUGCGGAACACGUGUGCAACCUGCCUUUAUCUGGGGGAUAGCCUUUCGAAAGGAAGAUUAAUACCCCAUAAUAUACUGAAUGGCAUCAUUCGGUAUUGAAAACUCCGGUGGAUAGAGAUGGGCACGCGCAAGAUUAGAUAGUUGGUGAGGUAACGGCUCACCAAGUCUACGAUCUUUAGGGGGCCUGAGAGGGUGAUCCCCCACACUGGUACUGAGACACGGACCAGACUCCUACGGGAGGCAGCAGUGAGGAAUAUUGGACAAUGGGUGAGAGCCUGAUCCAGCCAUCCCGCGUGAAGGACGACGGCCCUAUGGGUUGUAAACUUCUUUUGUAUAGGGAUAAACCUACCCUCGUGAGGGUAGCUGAAGGUACUAUACGAAUAAGCACCGGCUAACUCCGUGCCAGCAGCCGCGGUAAUACGGAGGGUGCAAGCGUUAUCCGGAUUUAUUGGGUUUAAAGGGUCCGUAGGCGGAUCUGUAAGUCAGUGGUGAAAUCUCACAGCUUAACUGUGAAACUGCCAUUGAUACUGCAGGUCUUGAGUGUUGUUGAAGUAGCUGGAAUAAGUAGUGUAGCGGUGAAAUGCAUAGAUAUUACUUAGAACACCAAUUGCGAAGGCAGGUUACUAAGCAACAACUGACGCUGAUGGACGAAAGCGUGGGGAGCGAACAGGAUUAGAUACCCUGGUAGUCCACGCCGUAAACGAUGCUAACUCGUUUUUGGAAUGUAAGUUUCAGAGACUAAGCGAAAGUGAUAAGUUAGCCACCUGGGGAGUACGAACGCAAGUUUGAAACUCAAAGGAAUUGACGGGGGCCCGCACAAGCGGUGGAUUAUGUGGUUUAAUUCGAUGAUACGCGAGGAACCUUACCAAGGCUUAAAUGGGAAAUGACAGGUUUAGAAAUAGACUUUUCUUCGGACAUUUUUCAAGGUGCUGCAUGGUUGUCGUCAGCUCGUGCCGUGAGGUGUUAGGUUAAGUCCUGCAACGAGCGCAACCCCUGUCACUAGUUGCCAUCAUUAAGUUGGGGACUCUAGUGAGACUGCCUACGCAAGUAGAGAGGAAGGUGGGGAUGACGUCAAAUCAUCACGGCCCUUACGCCUUGGGCCACACACGUAAUACAAUGGCCGGUACAGAGGGCAGCUACACUGCGAAGUGAUGCAAAUCUCGAAAGCCGGUCUCAGUUCGGAUUGGAGUCUGCAACUCGACUCUAUGAAGCUGGAAUCGCUAGUAAUCGCGCAUCAGCCAUGGCGCGGUGAAUACGUUCCCGGGCCUUGUACACACCGCCCGUCAAGC
rnacentral:rRNA from 1 species